rnacentral:lncRNA from 1 species
AUCCAUGGUAUCUAUUCAAUAAAUAUACUUUCUUUUCUUUCCAUCACAAAAGGAAAACCCCCUUUUACAUGGGGGUCUUACACCUGGAUCGCGACAACAUGUACACGUGGGAAACAAUAACCAAACAGCAGCUUUACAUUCUGACAUAAUAGAGGGCUGAUGCCAUCAGGGGGUGGGACAGUGUGCCCCAGAGAACAACGCACACACAGGAGUAUGGGCAGGAGGAAAAUGAGAGGCCAUCACUGCUCUGGUCAGGGCUGUCUUCAGGAAGGGGGGACGGCCCUGAGCCCGGAGUGUGCAGAUGAGGAAAAGAUGGAACUGAGGGAGGCGGUUGAGCUUGAGCAAGAAGCGAGCUCUGAAGACAGCAGUACAGUGGAUGCUACAGGACAAGGAUCAGCUAACUGGAGCAGCACAUGA